rnacentral:lncRNA from 1 species
UCAUCUCUUUUUAUGACUGCAAUCUGCUGUGUACGGAGCGUUUCCCACCCGCGUUUCACCUACAUUAUGUCUUAUCUGAUUUAGAAGGGCCCAGAGGGACUGUGUCCCGCCCCCUCCCAACCCCUCGCCUCAGAAGAUCUAGAGCUGGUGCUGCCUCUGGGGUUGUCAGACUCAGCUGUGCUUCAUAAAGGCCUGGGCUGGGCCUUUAAAUUUUUUUGUAACUGUAGUGCCACAGGAUUCCUGAGUUUCACCCACACGCGGCUCCCUCCCUGAGCCCCAGCUGGCUGCCAACACCUACACCAACAAGCUAACCCCCAGCAUCACCGCCCUUGGGGCUGUGUCGAAACUCACACCACACACCCCCACACCAAUCUUUGCUCUGGAAGAAGAGCAAAGGGUCUCGGCCUUGACUUGGGGAUCAGGAAACAGAAGCUGCCCCGUAGCAAGAAGGGGAGGAUGAUGGUUGUUCAUACAGGGCACUGUGCAUCGGAAUCAUGGGAGAGCCCUUCCAAGUAUGAGUCCUGUUUCCUUCCCUGGCUGGGAGAUGAGAAUGGAGUUCACAGAAGGUAGCUAUGGAUUUCCAGUGAACCUCCCUGGGACGUUCUGUUCUCGAUGUCCCCGCAGGUUUGGAAACGGUAGUAUUACUAAACACCUGGACCUAUUCUUCAUUAAAAAGGUUAGAUUGAGGGGUUGGGGAUUUAGCUCAGUGGUAGAGCGCUUGCCUAGGAAGCGCAAGGCCCUGGGUUCAGUCCCCAGCUCCGAAAAAAAGAACCAAAAAAAAA